GCAUGGGUUUGGCAAGCCCAUCUCCCUGGGUCUCUUAAAGUGCAGUGUCCAAGGCCAGAGCAAACUGUAGCCUUGAACCAUUGCCUGGCCUCUGUCUGCAGGCUGCAAGCACUAAAGCGGGUUGUACAGUA